rnacentral:rRNA from 1 species
AGAGUUUGAUCAUGGCUCAGAACUAACGCUGGCGGCGUGCCUAACACAUGCAAGUCGUACGAGAAAGUUGGCUUCGGCCGAUGAGUAAAGUGGCGCACGGGUGAGUAACGCGUGGAUAAUCUACCUUUUAGUUUGGAAUAACGUACCGAAAGGUGCGCUAAUACCGGAUAAUGCUGCACAACUACUGUUGUGUCGUCAAAGAAGGCUUCUGUUUACAUGCUUUUGCUGAAAGAUGAGUCCGCGUACCAUUAGCUAGUUGGUAGGGUAAUGGCCUACCAAGGCUACGAUGGUUAGCUGGUCUGAGAGGAUGAUCAGCCACACUGGAACUGAGACACGGUCCAGACUCCUACGGGAGGCAGCAGUGAGGAAUAUUGCGCAAUGGGGGCAACCCUGACGCAGCAACGCCGCGUGAGUGAGGAAGGUUUUCGGACCGUAAAGCUCUGUCGAGCGGGAAGAAAUGCAUGGUGGCUAAUAUCCAUCAUGCUUGACGGUACCGCUAAAGGAAGCACCGGCUAACUCCGUGCCAGCAGCCGCGGUAAUACGGGGGGUGCAAGCGUUGUUCGGAAUUAUUGGGCGUAAAGAGCGUGUAGGCGGCUGAAUAAGUCAGAUGUGAAAUCCCUGGGCUUAACCCAGGACGUGCAUUUGAAACUAUUCAGCUUGAGUAGGGGAGAGGAAAGUGGAAUUCCUGGUGUAGAGGUGAAAUUCGUAGAUAUCAGGAGGAACACCGGUGGCGAAGGCGACUUUCUGGCCCUAUACUGACGCUGA